UACGGAGGGUGCGAGCGUUGUCCGGAAUCAUUGGGCGUAAAGGGCGCGUAGGUGGCCCAGUAAGCGUGCGGUGAAAGCUCGGGGCUCAACCCCGAGUCGGCCGUGCGAACUACUGGGCUGGAGCACUGUAGAGGCAGGCGGAAUUCCGGGUGUAGCGGUGGAAUGCGCAGAUAUCAGGAAGAACACCCGUGGCUAAGGCGGCUCUCUAGUACGGUACUGACGCUGAGACGCGAAAGCGUGGGGAGCGAACAGG
rnacentral:rRNA from 1 species